rnacentral:rRNA from 1 species
UACGGAGGGUGCAAGCGUUAUCCGGAUUCACUGGGUUUAAAGGGUGCGUAGGCGGGUAAGUAAGUCCGUGGUGAAAUCUCUGAGCUUAACUCAGAAACUGCCGUGGAUACUAUUUGCCUUGAAUAUUGUGGAGGUGAGCGGAAUAUGUCAUGUAGCGGUGAAAUGCUUAGAUAUGACAUAGAACACCAAUUGCGAAGGCAGCUUACUACCCGAAUAUUGACACUGAGGCACGAAAGCGUGGGGAUCAAACAGG